UACGUAGGGGGCGAGCGUUGUCCCGGAUUUAUUGGGCGUAAAGAGCGUGUAGGCGGCCAGGUAGGUCUGCUGUGAAAACUCGAGGCCUCAACCUCGAGACGUCGCGGAAACCAUCUGGCUAGAGUCCGGAAGAGGAGAGUGGAAUUCCUGGUGUAGCGGUGAAAUGCGCAGAUAUCAGGAAGAACACCCGUGCGGAAGGCGGCUCUCGUGGGAACGGUACUGACGCUGAGACGCGAAAGCGUGGGGAGCGAACAG
rnacentral:rRNA from 1 species